AUUGCCUAUAUGAUGAAGAAAUUACUUGGAUAAAUUGUCUUUCCGAGAGCGCAAAAAUUAUGCGGAUUGUUUCCUUGUUGCCUUCCUUCUGAUUUGGUCU
rnacentral:snoRNA from 1 species